ACACCGCCACCGCUGUUCUGUUACCCGACGGCCAAAGCCGCCGUAUCACUUACACUUCCACCGCGUUCACUACAUUUCACACACCUCAUUCCAACCUUUAUUAUAGAAGGAGGAUUCUAGCCUGAGGUUCCAUCACCUUCAACUCAAAUCCUGUGAAAUUAAGGAUUUGUUGAAUGAUUGCUUGAAUUGGUGAUGGAUUUAGUCUGAUUUGGGCAGAAAUUCUGAAUAAAAUCGAAAGGCGCAAAAUUUUGCAAUUGAACUAUAUUUUCUUAAUUAAGUAGUACAUAUUAUUGCU